GCUGGGCUUGGUGGUGCACACCCGUGAUCCUGGCAGCUCAGGAGGCUGAGACAGGAGGAUCUCGAGUUCAAAGCCACUAUGCAACUCAGUGAGACCCUGUCUCUA
rnacentral:sRNA from 1 species